GAGACCGGCGCACGGGUGCGUAACGCGUAUGCAAUCUACCUUGUACAGAGGGAUAGCCCAGAGAAAUUUGGAUUAAUACCUCAUAGCAUUAUUGAAUGGCAUCAUUUAAUAAUUAAAGUUCCAACGGUACAAGAUGAGCAUGCGUCCUAUUAGCUAGUUGGUGUGGUAACGGCAUACCAAGGCUACGAUAGGUAGGGGUCCUGAGAGGGAGAUCCCCCACACUGGUACUGAGACACGGACCAGACUCCUACGGGAGGCAGCAGUGAGGAAUAUUGGACAAUGGGCGCAAGCCUGAUCCAGCCAUGCCGCGUGCAGGAAGACGCAUCUAUGGUGUGUAAACUGCUUUUGUACGGGAAGAAACACUCCCUCGUGAGGGAGCUUGACGGUACCGUAAGAAUAAGGAUCGGCUAACUCCGUGCCAGCAGCCGCGGUAAUACGGAGGAUCCAAGCGUUAUCCGGAAUCAUUGGGUUUAAAGGGUCCGUAGGCGGUUUAAUAAGUCAGUGGUGAAAGCCCAUCGCUCAACGAUGGAACGGCCAUUGAUACUGUUAGACUUGAAUUAUUGUGAAGUAACUAGAAUAUGUAGUGUAGCGGUGAAAUGCUUAGAUAUUACAUGGAAUACCAAUUGCGAAGGCAGGUUACUAACAAUAUAUUGACGCUGAUGGACGAAAGCGUGGGGAGCGAACAGGAUUAGAUACCCUGGUAGUCCACGCCGUAAACGAUGGAUACUAGCUGUUGGGAGCAAUUUCAGUGGCUAAGCGAAAGUGAUAAGUAUCCCACCUGGGGAGUACGUUCGCAAGAAUGA
rnacentral:rRNA from 1 species